UUUUUUUUUUUUUAUUUUUUCGGUAUAAAGGGCAUGGGGUGAAAUUCAAGGCCUACAGAUUAGUUCCAGUACUGUGUCCAUGUUAAAUUUCUUAUUUUGCUCAUCAUAGUAUAGGAACAUGUCUUUGUUUCUAUAAAAUACAUACUGAAGUAUUCAGGCAUAAAGGACAUCCUGUUUGGAACUUAGUCUCAGAUGAUUCAGAAAAAAUAUGUGUGUGUUUAUGUAUGUAUGUUACAUAUGUAUAUUUCUGCCUACCUACCUAUCGAGGAAUAAUAAAGCAAAUAUGACAAAAAUGUUACCAACUGGACCAUCUGGGGGAAGGGUCUAUUUGAGUGUCUUUCUCUGUUCUUCCAACUUUUCUCUAAGUUUGAAAUUAUUUCAAAAUAAAAAGAUAAAAAGAAAAAGGCAAGUGCCCUAUUUUGCUUGUUGAUGAAUAAGGACAAGCCAUCGAAGGAGAGGAUGUGAGGGUAUAGUAGGAACUCCAAGCCACAGGAAAGACUUGGCCAGACUUUUCUGGAAUGCAACUGGGCAGUUUGUAUUAAGAAUCUUAAAAAUAUUCAUAACUUUUAGUCCCAUUUCUGUUCAAAUAAAAUAAACAAAAAUGCAAAGACUUAUGCACAAGUAUCUUAUUACAGUGGGACUUCCAACAAUAAAAUAUUGGAGACAAUUUAAAUAUUUAACAAUGGGGGCCUGGUAUAGCCCUACCGUGGAAUAGGAUGUGCCCAUUAAAUGAUGUCUCUGAAGAGUUUUUAACAGCAUGACUAGGUACUUAUCUUAUAAUGUCCUGUGACAUACCAGAAUAAAAUGUACAUGCCAUAGAACCUCAAUUACAUCCAAAAUAUGCAUUAUAAAUCUGGAGGAAAGUAAACCAAAAUGCCAAAAUGUUGAGUAUACUUGGUAGCAUUUCUCCCUACUUCUUAAUAUUUUUUUAGUAAUAUCACAUUUUUUAUCAUAAGGAAAUAUCCUAAAGCCAGAAAACAACAAAUAAAGUAGCAAUGAAGUUCUGAGUCUGUGACCGGGUGACGACAGCGUCUGAACGGUUCUCCCUCCGGCAGCGAGGAGCAGCCCCUUGGACGCGCUCCAGUCCCAGUUCUUGAGAAAGUGGGGAAGACUCCGUGGGGGAAGAGGAGGGGUUGCUGAUGUCAUGGUGACCAUGUGGAGUGUGACACACCUACAGGUCAUGAUGGGCUGUGUGCUGGGCACUCCAGAAUCUCAUUUAAUCCCCUAGUGGAUAAGGAACACUAAGUAUUGGAGAGACGGAAUGAUUUACCCAAGGCCAGUGUGUAGGAAGAGGUGAGGCUGGAAUUUCAAGUGAGAUCGGGAGACUCCAAAACCUGUGCUUUUAAUUCCAGCCCUGCCUGGCCUCCCAGGUCAUGCCCGUGGUGGGUGAACUGGGGGCGCUGGCCCCCACGUUGCCAUCCUGACUAGUCAGCCUGUUUGCUUCCUCCUCUCUGGUGUGAUUUCCUCAAGCUUGUUAUUAAAUAGCAAACAUCCUUCCUUCUUUUUCUCCUGGAAUUCUCAUCCCACAGUGGCCUAAGGGGAAGGCAAACUGUAUGCUUGUGCCUAGGAAGCAUGACCGCGCCAUCCAGCCUCCCUCCAAUGGCGAUGCACCAAGCCUUCCAGCAGCAGUGAAUGCAGCCUUGUUAAGAGUGAUUCUGACCCCUCGUUCUCCGUCACCUCACAAGGCGUAACUACAGGGGCAGCUGCAGGGAGAGAUGUAGGUUGGCAUUCAGAAGCCUUUCUGACAGCAAGAGUGAAUCAACACAAAAUGAAUUACACAAAGACACCAUUCACUGUCUCCCCAGAGAGUCUGGAGAAGAAAUGCCUGCCAUUUGUGUAGCUCUUUUUGAUGUUCAAAGCUCUGUGGCACACGGCCCUCAUUAGGUUCUCACAAGAACUCCCUAAGAAAGACAAGGCAGGAAUUACUUCCCUUAGGAAAGGAAACUAAGGCUCAGGGAAACCAAGUUAUUUGCCUCCAGUCAUUGGUGACUAGAUCGGUCUUCUAACUUCCUCUUUAUCCCUUCUUACUCCUUCUGCAAACGGUACCAGUAGGAUGCUGGCAGAGGGGAAGAUCCCUUAUUGUCUCACCCUGGGGCAAGGAGAUGGGCUAGAUCAAUCCUAAUGCUGCUUCCUGCCUUGGAAGAUGAAUUUGCCUCCAAGAGGUGGGCCCUCCAUGCUUAUAAAUCCUCCUUC
ensembl:lncRNA